UGUCUACGACCUCCACCUCUUCCUAGGGCGACCAGUUCAGUUUGCUUCACCUGAACACACACAAGAUUCAGAAGGUGUGUUUGGUCGAGUCCCUCAGAGGAUCUUGGAUGAUGAAAGUGCUCAUCUGAUCACGUCUCAUGAAAACUCCCUGGACCUGCAAAAUCUGCUCCGUGUCUCAGAGAACGCCUACAAGCAGUACCUCAAGUCGCGGCCAAACCCCUCGCCGGAGUCCAUCAGACGGGUUAAAAACAUAGAUCUGUCCUGCAUGGGUGUCCAUCCAGUACUUGGGUGUGGUCUGGAAAAAAUGGAACUGGAGUGCCUUCAAAUAGUCGAUGCCAUCAAGAGCUACAAAUCCAAAGCG